rnacentral:rRNA from 1 species
GACGAACGCUGGCGGCGUGCUUAACACAUGCAAGUCGAACGGAAAGGCCCUGCUUUUGUGGGGUGCUCGAGUGGCGAACGGGUGAGUAACACGUGAGUAACCUGCCCUUGACUUUGGGAUAACUUCAGGAAACUGGGGCUAAUACCGGGUAGGAGCUCCUGCUGCAUGGUGGGGGUUGGAAAGUUUCGGCGGUUGGGGAUGGACUCGCGGCUUAUCAGCUUGUUGGUGGGGUAGUGGCUUACCAAGGCUUUGACGGGUAGCCGGCCUGAGAGGGUGACCGGCCACAUUGGGACUGAGAUACGGCCCAGACUCCUACGGGAGGCAGCAGUGGGGAAUAUUGCACAAUGGGCGGAAGCCUGAUGCAGCAACGCCGCGUGCGGGAAGACGGCCUUCGGGUUGUAAACCGCUUUCGCCUGUGACGAAGCGUGAGUGACGGUAAUGGGUAAAGAAGCACCGGCUAACUACGUG